rnacentral:rRNA from 1 species
UGCGGAAGGAUCAUUAUUGAAUUAAACAUGAAGCAGGUUGUUGCUGGCUCUCUGCAUGUGCACACUUGUUUCUGCUUUAUUUCUCCAACUGUGCACACAUUGUAGAUCGUUUUUGGUCUAUGCUUUUCACAAUCUCUGAAUGUAUUAGAAUGCUUUUGAAUCUGGGGAAUAUACAUACAACUUUCAGCAACGGAUCUCUUGGCUCUCGCAUCGAUGAAGAACGCAGCGAAAUGCGAUAAGUAAUGUGAAUUGCAGAAUUCAGUGAAUCAUCGAAUCUUUGAACGCAUCUUGCGCUCCUUGGUAUUCCGAGGAGCAUGCCUGUUUGAGUGUCAUUUAAAACUUCUCAACUGCUCCAGAUUUGUUUCUGGAUGUGGCUUGGAAAUGGAGGGAAGUGCAGGCUUCUGCUGAAGUCUGCUCCUCUGAAAUGUAUUAGCGGUGUCUGGGCAAGACUACCACAGGUGUGAUAACUAUCAAUGCCUUGGUGCGUGCUGCUACCGCUUUCGAACCAUUCAAUGACCAAC